AUGUGAGUCAUUUUCCAGACUAUUAUCCUGUAUCAGUUCAUGGAGGAGAGGAAAUACAAUGGAGAGAAACGUGCACACACACUGAGCAAGGAGGUUAUAGGUGGAACUCAGGGGAGCACAAAGAAUGCAUUUCUCAUAGAAGCUGAAAUGCAAUGGACAAUAUUGUGCAAAAGCCCUAAGGCUGUUAAAGUUAAUACGAAAUCAUGCUGCACCUGGAGGAUAGAAAAGUGCUCUGAGGGACUACUCUCAAAAUCCCCUGAAGCAGAUUAGGAAUACCUGCAGCGGUACCCUGGCUACUUUUUCUCCAUCCUCUCUGAACUCCGUGGGGUUAGGAUUCAGUGUGCCUCAGUACAGGUCAAAAGGUUAACCCAUUGGAGCAGAAUGAAAGUUUAAACUCAGCAAAAAAACCCCAAAAACCCACCUGAAUAUUUGGCUUGGAGAACACACGACAUUUCUGGAAACAGCAGCAUGGCCACUUGCUCACCUGCUUCUCUUGGAACUCAUUUUCCAGC